GACGAACGCUGGCGGCGUGCCUAAUACAUGCAAGUUGAGCGCUGAAGGGUGGUACUUGUACCAACUGGAUGAGCAGCGAACGGGUGAGUAACGCGUGGGGAAUCUGCCUUUGAGCGGGGGACAACAUUUGGAAACGAAUGCUAAUACCGCAUAAAAACUUUAAACACAAGGUUUAAGUUUGAAAGAUGCAAUUGCAUCACUCAAAGAUGAUCCCGCGUUGCAUUAGCGAGGUGGUGAGGUAAAGGCUCACCAAGGCGAUGAUACGUAGCCGACCUGAGAGGGUGAGCGGCCACACUGGAACUUGGACACGGUACAUACUCAUACGGGAGGCAGCAGUAGGGAAGCUUCCACAAUGGGCGAAAGCUUGACGGAGCAACGCGGAGUGAGUGAUGAAGGGCUGCGGAUCGUAAAACUCUGGUAUGAGGGAAGAACAAAUGUGUAAGUAACUAUGCACGGCUUGACGGGACCUAAUCAGAAAGCCACGGCUAACUACGUG
rnacentral:rRNA from 1 species